rnacentral:pre_miRNA from 1 species
UCUCUGUAUCUCGAAGUAGACGGCGGCUUAACCGAUGUAGGCCUAGAUUACAUUGGACAAAACAGUCCAAACUUGAGAUGGUUACUUCUUGGUCCAAUGUAAUCUAGGUCUACAUCUGUUAAGUCUCUAAAGUAUUCUGAAAGAGA